UCAGUAAGAUCUUUCAUACUUGCAUCCUAUUAUAAGUGUGGAGGAUCUUGCUGUUUU
rnacentral:pre_miRNA from 1 species